CUUUGACAUUGCAGGGAUGUUCUAAUUCGAUUAUCAGAUCCUGAAAGGUAGAACCUUUCUUGCUUUUCUUCUUGCACUCCAAUUAAGAACAUUUAGCUCUGAGUUUACAGAUCAUAAUUGCAGGCAAUAGGAGAAGACAACGCACCUCUCACUAACUGGAAAGGGACAAGAUAAGAAGGAGGAACUGAUUGGUUUCCUUGAUACGCUUCCUAAUUGUAUGGAUCCAAAUCAAAUCUCUGCUUUUAUCUUCUGCAGCUGGAGGAGUUUAAUUUAUUUUGCUUUCUGCUGUGCCCACACCUGACCAACCAAAGCAGCUUCAAGAGGGUCCCAUCGAUCUCUGCUGUUUAACCCCUGUAUCUCUUCCUAUGGCUUUCCAAAGGAGACUGCAGUCGUUUGCCAGAGCUCUGUAGAUACAGCAGUCAGGGAAUGCCCUUCCUGUUGCCCCUGAAGCUGAUAGCGCAUCCAUUCAUGCAUUCAUAUUCUUUUCAAAGGGAUGAGAAGCAUCGAGAGGAACCUGGCACCGAUGGCAGCGAAUGCUCUGCGUUCAGCAACAUAAUGGAGCCAACAUGGAUUUCAGUACUGCAGAACCAGGAGCUAUGGAAAUACCUGAGUGUGGGCC
ensembl:lncRNA